rnacentral:tRNA from 1 species
UCCCAUGUGGGUCAGUUGGUAGAGCAUGGUGCUUUCAAUGCCAGGGUUGUGGGUUUGAUUCCCAUGGGAG